rnacentral:misc_RNA from 1 species
AAAGUCGUAACAAGGUUUCCGUAGGUGAACCUGCGGAAGGAUCAUUACCGAGCUAGGGUUGCCCAGCAGCCCGAACCUCCCAACCCUUUGUCUAAUUUACCUUGUCGUUGCUUCGGCGGACCGGUUGACCUUCGCGGGUCUUGACCGCCGGGGGGUCCACCCCCCUGGAGAGCGUCCGCCGACGGCCCAACCACAAACUCUUGUACCAAACCAUGUCGUCUGAAUUACUUGAUUAAAAUCAAAAAAACAAAACUUUCAACAACGGAUCUCUUGGUUCUG